UGUUUAGCAAUUCCAUCUGAAGAGGAGUCGCUCCAUACAAGAGGCCACUCUGUUUCGGGGGCCGAGUGAUUUGCUCGGUGAAGGAGAACCUCACUGGUGUUGUUCCAGCAGGCCACUGCACUUGGACAAGCCCGCCAAUGAGGGAGGCUUUGGACAUUUGCAGCAGUUCGGCAUUUCCAAGUUGGGAGCAUCUUAUCUGCCUGGAGCUCCAGCAUAACCCUGGCUUGGUGGCUGCAAACUGCAUUCUGGAUACGCCGGUCACCCCCAUCCAUUGCCAUACCAGCUUCCCACGGAGCAGCCUGACGCAGUGGAUCCUUUCUUUUUUGAAAAAGUCAGCGAGUGAGAAGUAACAUCCCUACAAGCUAUAUAUGUGACUAGAAACGCAGAGCGAUUCCUCUUUUGGAAUUUCAAUUUCAAAUAUUCUGGGAAAGAUUCUUGCCGGCCCUGGUUGAGUCACCUGAACACCACUUGGACCUAUCACUGUGGAAAAUGAGAUGUUCUGAUUGGUCUUGUCAUCUCUCACCAAGAAGACUGCAACUCACCAAAUGAACUGAAGGCAGCCACUGGAAAAAUUUCUGUGAGCUGAGCCGACACCACAAUCUGUGCCUUUCUCACAGAGUGCUGAUGCUGAUGUAGAGCACAGAAGUUGAGGUAAAUAUUGCUAAGGCAUAGAUUUUAACUCAUCAAGUUCAUUGGGAUUGUGUGAUAUCAU